UACAGAGGGGGCAAGCGUUGUUCGGAAUUACUGGGCGUAAAGGGCGCGUAGGCGGCCUGCUAAGUCGAACGUGAAAUCCCUGGGCUCAACCCAGGAACUGCGUCCGAUACUGGUUGGCUUGAAUCCGGGAGAGGGCGGUGGAAUUCCCGGUGUAGUGGUGAAAUGCGUAGAGAUCGGGAGGAACACCUGUGGCGAAGGCGGCCGUCUGGGCCGACCCUGACGCUGAGGCGCGAAGGCGUGGGGAGCGAACGGG
rnacentral:rRNA from 1 species